ACUCCUACGGGAGGCAGCAGUGGGGAAUAUUGCACAAUGGGCGCAAGCCUGAUGCAGCCAUGCCGCGUGUAUGAAGAAGGCCUUCGGGUUGUAAAGUACUUUCAGCGGGGAGGAAGGCGAUAAGGUUAAUAACCUUGUUGAUUGACGUUACCCGCAGAAGAAGCACCGGCUAACUCCGUGCCAGCAGCCGCGGUAAUACGGAGGGUGCAAGCGUUAAUCGGAAUUACUGGGCGUAAAGCGCACGCAGGCGGUCUGUCAAGUCGGAUGUGAAAUCCCCGGGCUCAACCUGGGAACUGCAUUCGAAACUGGCAGGCUAGAGUCUUGUAGAGGGGGGUAGAAUUCCAGGUGUAGCGGUGAAAUGCGUAGAGAUCUGGAGGAAUACCGGUGGCGAAGGCGGCCCCCUGGACAAAGACUGACGCUCAGGUGCGAAAGCGUGGGGAGCAAACAGGAUUAGAAACCCCGGUAGUCCCAUGAU
rnacentral:rRNA from 1 species